AUCAACUUUCGAUGGUAGGAUAGAGGCCUACCAUGGUGGUAACGGGUAACGGGGUGUUAGGGCACGACACCGGAGAGGGAGCCUGAGAAACGGCUACCACAUCCAAGGAUGGCAGCAGGCGCGCAAAUUACCCAAUCCCGACACGGGGAGGUAGUGACAAUAAAUAACAAUACGGGGUUCUUUCGGAUCUCGUAAUUGGAAUGAGUACAAUUUAAAUCUCUUAACGAGGAACAAUUGGAGGGCAAGUCCGGUGCCAGCAGCCGCGGUAAUUCCAGCUCCAAUAGCGUAUAUUAAAGUUGUUGCAGUUAAAAAGCUCGUAGUUGAAUUUCGGGAUCAAUAUGUUGGUCGUGCCUUGGUACGUACUGGCAUUAUCGAUUCCUACCUUCUGAAGAACCUCGAUGUCAUUAAUUUGGUGUCUUGGGGAAUCAGGACUGUUACUUUGAAAAAAUUAGAGUGUUUAAAGCAGGCUCGCGCUUGAAUACAUUAGCAUGGAAUAAUGAAAUAGGACGUUUGAUUCUAUUUUGUUGGUUUCUAGGAUCGACGUAAUGAUUAAUAGGGAUAGUUGGGGGCAUUAGUAUUCAAUUGUCAGAGGUGAAAUUCUUGGAUUUAUUGAAGACUAACUACUGCGAAAGCAUUUGCCAAGGAUGUUUUCAUUAAUCAAGAACGAAAGUUAGGGGAUCGAAGACGAUCAGAUACCGUCGUAGUCUUAACCAUAAACUAUGCCGACUAGGGAUCGGAUGAUGUUAAUUUUUUAAUGACUCAUUCGGCGCCUUACGGGAAACCAAAGUGUUUGGGUUC
rnacentral:rRNA from 1 species